UACGAAGGGGCUAGCGUUGUUCGGAAUUACUGGGCGUAAAGCGCACGUAGGCGGAUUGUUAAGUUAGGGGUGAAAUCCCGGGGCUCAACCUCGGAACUGCCUUUGAUACUGGCAAUCUUGAGUCCGGAAGAGGUGAGUGGAAUUCCUAGUGUAGAGGUGAAAUUCGUAGAUAUUAGGAAGAACACCAGUGGCGAAGGCGGCUCACUGGUCCGGAACUGACGCUGAGGUGCGAAAGCGUGGGGAGCAAACAGGAUUAGAUACCCGUGUAGUCCCUGAGCGGG
rnacentral:rRNA from 1 species